GAAAAGAUACGUGCAGAGAAGGAACGGGCAAAAAACGGGCACGUGCCUUCUGGUUAUUUUCUUCCUGUUACUUUCAAAGUUUUAGUAGGAUUGUUGAUGUUGCUAUGGAUUGGAUGAGUUCAGAGGUCGUGUACUCAAGAAAGAUGGUUCCAGAAUGACUCCAAAAGUUUGGGGAAAGGGAGAAGCAUUUGGUUUUUAAUAGGUGUCACUCGUAACAAGUUGACACGAAUGGCAUUCUAAUAAAGAAUAUAGUGGAGCUAAUUAAGAAGUGGAACAAAGAUGAGCUGGAGCGAAAAAGGGUUAAGGCGCAACGACAUCGUCGACCUUAUGGAGGACCCAUAAGGAUAUACACUGCUACAAAUUUAAGGACAGUCUUUGAAGUCUCAGGAUCGCUGUCAAGCUCAGUGCAUAUGCUUAUGGGAGAGGACGAAACAUCAAUAAGCUACUUCGAUACAAGAAUCUCCUAGUGCAAUUUGUGAAACCUAUGCCCUAACGUGAAUCACAUGUUGAGAUUUUCGAUACCACCACUAAUAGGGAGAUAGUGGUACUUGACUCAUUCCCUACUAGGGAGAACAACACCUUCAUGGCAGCACGUUGUGCCAAGGAGGAUUAGAUAGCUACCUGUUGUUUUCAUUAAAUAUUAUUG